CAGAAGGGUGACACGCAGCCCUACAGCUGAGAGCUGGAUCUACCAAGGUUGCCACCAUGGUAACAAGCGACAGGACAAAAGGAGAUGUCUUCAAGUUGCCCUAGGGAAGAUUUAGAUUGGCUAUUGGAAAAUAAUUUUUUCGCUGAAAGAAUGGUUGAGCGUUGGAGCAGCAAUGGGGUGAGUCAUCAUUCUUGGAAGUGUUCAGAAAAUGGGUGGAUGGGCACUUGGUGGGUUUGGCAGUGCUUAAAGGUCUUUCCCAACGUUAACAAUUCCUUGAUUCUCUGGUUGCCAGGCUGCCCUGCUCUGCUGUGACAGGGCACGUGGCUGAGGACCACUGUGGAGACUUGUGGAUCCCCCCUGUGCCAGCUGCCAGCGUGCAGGGCACCAUUCCACCAGCAAUCACUUGUGCAUUUGCUGUUCUACAAACCUUGGCCAGGCGCGUGAGUCAGCAGGACCAGCUGAAAAUCCCUGGUGAUCCUUGCCCGCUGCUCCCUGGGCACCAGUUCACCCUGGAGGGAACACAGGACCUGAGGUGCCUGGCUGCUUCUGGGGGUCCCAGCCAUUGAGUCAGAGCUGGUGAAGGCUCCUGGCCUGGAGAAGGCACCAAGUGGAGAGGGCAUGUGGAUUCACCACACCGUGUGGAGCUGGUGCACCCAGAGCUGGGCUCCUGUGAGCCCAGCUAAGCCAAUCCCAGGUCCCUCUGGGAUCCUUUUCCAUCCAGAGAGUGGGUGAAGGUGAGGGAGGAGGCCGGAUCUGCAGAUCUGGAGCCUGCUGAGGACUGGUGGAGAACAAUGCAAUGCCUUCAGCAGGUUUCAGCUGUCUGCCUGGGAGAUGACACAGUGUCUGGCCAUGACCAAGAGGAUGGGGGCCCUGCUGGCUGCCACCAACGUGGAGGCAACCAGAGCAGACUCUGAGCAUGUAAUCUCCUACUUACCAGGAGAUGGGAGAGAGCAUUACAGGCUGCUGCCACGACUGGGCUUUACAGCUAUCACGGGCUCAUCCUGCUUUAUCUGUUGCAUGUUAAAUAUCCCAUGUAAAGCUACGCAAAGCUGCAAAGCUACCCUAAUCCUUCCUAAAGCCAGCCUGCCCUUCCCUGCACAUAUUACAUUAGAUAUGCUUAUUAAACUCACCCAGCUGAAGUUUACUUCCAGACAGUGGUGAUAGUCUUGAAAUACCAUUAGGGUGAUAAUUAUAUCGCGUUGUACUUCAUCCAGAUUUUGGGUGGUAAUUGUUCACACAUGCUGCCAGCUGUUGAAGCGGUGGUAGAUGCAAAGGAAGGUUGUGGCAUAGUGGGUGGUGGGAUUCCAGCUGGAUAAUGUGGGAGUGCCAGGCUGGUCAGAGACCCUCCAGGCCACAUGUCUUGGGGUGACCAAGGCAGCCACUCUAUGGGGUUGGUGAUAGGUGGGAGGUUCUCUGUCCUGCCCUUGCACAUCAGAGUUGUCCCCAUACCUUGGAGAUUGAAAUGGUGCCAUUUAAUACCUUCAAAAAGUGCCUAAAAUUCUGCUGGAAAACAGAGUGAUGCACUUCAUGAUCAGAGGAGGAGAAAUGGAAGGGAAGUCUUUGACAUGAGGCUGUUGUGGCUCUUUCUUACUAUCCAUAGUGUUGUCAAGUCCCUUUGGUUUGACUGGUCUGUGAGAAGUGGCUUGUAAGAGGUAAGAGAGCCACAGAUGUCCCUUUGCUCCUGGCUUCUCCACUCAAAUGGAAGGUUGCAUUAACUUCAGUUAUUUCUAUGAAUCUUACACGGAACUCAUUCCCACCAAUUCCACAUAAAUCUUUGGGGGGUAAGAAGCUGCAGUUUGAAAUUUAGCAAACGUGCAAUAGGUGGUUAUUUUGUGAUUGAAGUGAACCCUGUUUAUCCUGCAGUCAGCUGUAAUCCUGCUGCCUAUCACUCAUCCCACCUGCUCUGCCACAGCCCUGCUGAGAUGACUGGUCUCUGGAUAAACCCUGGGAACAUAGAAUGUAUUUGCUCCUGGGUUAAAAUUGGAUUUGGCAGAGAUGGAAGUCUCCCCUCACUUUCCCAGUGUCGAGUAGAGCACAACCUGACAUCCUGGCUCAGUGGGAUUUGGAAGGCUCAAGAUUCCCAAGACCUGUUGAGGUGUCUCUCUGGGCUGUAGUGGCCCUUCCAGGGGAGAAAUCUGUUCAGAUUUUGCAUGACACAGGAUUGCUCUUGGUGACUUUGCCACUCCCAGCUGGAGAAGGAGGAUCCUCUCCCUUCUUUGGCCUGGGGAGAUACCAGGGAGUCUGCUAGGCUGCUGGGCAGCUUGGAGAGGGAUCCAGGAAGGCCAAGCCAGCAGUGCUUAUGGCUGUGGGAAGAGGCAGCACUUCAUUCCUGUAUUUGGCACUGCUGAGGCACCUCAAAUCCUGUGUUCAGUUUUGGGUCUCUACAAGAAAGAUUUUGAAGUGCUGAAAUGUGUUCAGAGGAGGGCAACAGAGCUGGAUAAAGGCUUGUAGGACAAUCCUUGUGGCUGAGGGAGCUGGGUGUGGUUAUCCUGGAGAAAAGGAGGCUCAGGAGGCACCAUGUUGCUCUCUACAACUGCCUGAAAGGAAUCACAGAGGUAGUCAUAGAGGUAAACAGAUGGGCAUGGCAUGGCCCUGGGCUUCAGCACUGAGCAUCCCAUCCUCUGCCUUCAUCUUCGCACUCCUCUGAACCUCCGGAACUGAAGCUCCUGGCAGACGUGUGCCAUCAGUCACGGCUGGGGAGUGAUCUGGGUUAGCAUGACACUGAUGUAAAUUUAAAGCCUUCUUUUGCUCUCUCCACUAGCAGCCUUGUAUUUUCAGGAAGAAAGAGAAUGGGAAACAACUUUUUAAAUGAAGUCGAGCAUUUAAAUUCUCUUUAUACUUAGUCCUAUCUGGAGCUCUUUACCCAAAUGAAGCAGAAAGCAUUUACAGCUGUAUUUUCCAUCACACCAAGCAAGGAAUAUAUUCAUUUGCAGUAACAUGGCACUCAAUGAAGUGGAAAAUAAGCUCCCAAAAUUGAGCUAUGGAACGGUUUCAAUGAGUAGGAAAAGCCCACUUGGACUCCACUGACCAGUCACUUUGGUUAUGAUAAAAAUUAAUUUGAUUGACCACCUGAGCCAUGGCAGAAGUGAGGUUGGCUCUGAGAUCGCUCUGCUCGGGACUGGGUUCGGGGCUGGCUCCUCUGCCACAGCUCCCACCUGUCCUGCUCAUGGCACCAUCCCUGGUGCCUCCAAGGGAUGGCCAUCGGUGGCACACGAAUGUCCAGCAGCCAAUGUCCCACGUGUCCCCUCCACACGGCUGCAGGAGGGGACAAUGCCAGCGCCACGGCAGGCCCCUGGCUGGUGGCAGCCCUGUUGCCCGUGCCCACCAUGCACAGACGGGCACGUGGCGGCUCCGAGCAGAGAUGGAAGCGGUUCCUCCUUGCCGGUGCCGCAGCCCGCGGAGGACGUGAGCGGAGCGUUAAGCAGGUACCGGCCCAGCGCCAGCCGAGGGUCCGCUAAUUGCUUGUGAUGUCUCCUCCAGCUCCAUCGGCACGAGCAACAAUUGCUACUGGAAAUGCAAUUAAUAAUUAAGCGCUCAGUGCUGGCAGGUGUCAGCAGGAAUCGCGGGGCCUGGCAUCCCCCGCCUCGACGCCUCCUCUGCCCGCGCGGGAGAGGCAGCGCCGGGCGGGAUGCGGCCCUCGCUGCCUGGAUCGAUUCUGGGGGGGAGGAAGAGCUGUGCCUUGAGGAAAUAACUCGCUGGUGGAAUUUCCCCAGCGUGGAUGAGGCUGCCUGCUGUGGGCAGCAGGAUGAGGACCCAAGGCUGCCGGCCCGGCUGGUGAGAGCUGUGUGUAAUCCCGUUAUCAUCGCAGGGAUGCUUCCCAGUGCCAUCCAUCUUCACCUGAGACGUUCUGUGGGCAUUUUCUGGUUUUGCCGUACAGACAGAGUGAUUUUGGGUGGAGGUGACUGGCAGCAUUUCCCCACGGUGUUGGAGGCUGGGAACAUAGCCCCAGAGCUGGCACAGGGUGGCUGGGCUGCAACAGCUGGAUGAUGGUGUCCUGUCCCAGCCUCAGCUGCCCUGUCCCAGCAGCCGAGGAGGAUGGCAAGGAGCAGAGACAUCUUAGUGCUGGCUGGAAAAAGCAGCACCCCGAUGGAUUGAAAUGUCUUCCUGAGAUGCUACUCUGGCUCAGUGCAGCCUCAGGACCCCCUGUGUCCCCGCUCACAGGCUCUGCCAGCGCUGCUUUCACUUGCAGUGUUGGCUGCUGCUUGUGAUGACUUACAGCCUCCUUCAAGCUGGCUUUUAUUUUUAAUUACAUUUUGCCUCUGAAGAUGGGCUGCUUUGCUGGUUCAUUAUUUUUCUCUGCUUUUUUUUUUUUCCCCUUUUUUUAUUUUUGCUUGUUCUUUUUUUCUCAUUUUCCUUUUAAAGCCCAACAGACUUUUGGCUCCCUGAGAAAUAGCUUCACCCUUUAGGAAAGUGCAGAGCCUUUUCCCUGAGUAACAAAAUGUUGAUUUGCUACCACAGGGCUGAGUGAUGGUGAUUCCCUUAUUAAACUGCACUUAGAGGCAGCGACUGUCAGGCAGGGAUGGAGAGCUUCUCCGAUAAGUUGGAGCUAUUCAUUAUUAAAUUAUCUUCAUUCACUUGAA